CAGUCGCCGCGGUAAUGCGUAGGGUGCAAGCGUUAAUCGGAAUUACUGGGCGUAAAGCGUGCGCAGGCGGUUCGUUAAGACAGAUGUGAAAUCCCCGGGCUUAACCUGGGAACUGCAUUUGAUACGUGUUGUCUAGAGUGAGGAAGAGGGUUGUGGAAUUCCCAGUGUAGAGGUGAAAUUCGUAGAUAUUGGGAAGAACACCGGUGGCGAAGGCGGCAACCUGGUCCUUUACUGACGCUGAGGCGCGAAAGCGUGGGGAGCAAACAGGAUUAGAUACCCGCGUAGUCCCUGUCUCUUAUAA
rnacentral:rRNA from 1 species